rnacentral:rRNA from 1 species
UGCCCAUUUGAGGGGGAUACCAGUUGGAAACGACUGUUAAUACCGCAUAAUAUCUGCGGAUUAAAGGUGGCCUUUGUGCUGCCGCAGAUGGAUGAGCCUGCGUUGGAUUAGCUUGUUGGCGGGGUAAAGGCCCACCAAGGCUACGAUCCAUAGCUGAUUUGAGAGGAUGAUCAGCCACAUUGGGACUGAGACACGGCCCAAACUCCUACGGGAGGCAGCAGUGGGGAAUAUUGGACAAUGGGGGAAACCCUGAUCCAGCAAUGCCAUGUGUGUGAAGAAGGCUCUAGGGUUGUAAAGCACUUUAGUUGGGGAGGAAAGCUCAUAAGUUAAUAGCUUGUGGGAAGGACGUUACCCAAAGAAUAAGGACCGGCUAACUCCGUGCCAGCAGCCGCGGUAAUACGGGGGGUCCGAGCGUUAAUCGGAAUUACUGGGCGUAAAGGGUCUGUAGGUGGUUUGUUAAGUCAGAUGUGAAAGCCCAGGGCUCAACCUUGGAACUGCAUUUGAUACUGGCAAACUAGAGUAUGGUAGAGGAAUGGGGAAUUUCUGGUGUAGCGGUGAAAUGCGUAGAGAUCAGAAGGAACACCAAUGGCGAAGGCAACAUUCUGGACCAAUACUGACACUGAGGGACGAAAGCGUGGGGAUCAAACAGGAUUAGAUACCCUGGUAGUCCACGCUGUAAACGAUGAGUACUAGCUGUUGGAUUCGGUGUAAAGGAUCUAGUGGCGCAGCUAACGCGUUAAGUACUCCGCCUGGGGACUACGGCCGCAAGGCUAAAACUCAAAGGAAUUGACGGGGACCCGCACAAGCGGUGGAGCAUGUGGUUUAAUUCGAUGCAACGCGAAGAACCUUACCUGGUCUUGACAUCCUGCGAACUUUCUAGAGAUAGAUUGGUGCCUUCGGGAACGCAGUGACAGGUGCUGCACGGCUGUCGUCAGCUCGUGUUGUGAAAUGUUGGGUUAAGUCCCGCAACGAGCGCAACCCCUAUUGAUAGUUACCAUCAUUAAGUUGGGUACUCUAUUGAGACUGCCGCUGACAAGGCGGAGGAAGGUGGGGACGACGUCAAGUCAUCAUGGCCCUUACGACCAGGGCUAUCACACGUGC